rnacentral:rRNA from 1 species
GUAGCUAAACUAGAAAAGCGUUUCACUUACACCGAAUAGCUAUCCGUGCAAAUCGGAUCACUCUGACACUUAAAAGCUAGCUAUAAGUAAUAACUAACAAAUAUUUUUAAUGUACAUAUUGAAACACCAAAAGUCUUUAUUAAACCAUUUUACACAUCUUAGUAUAGGCGAUAGAAAAGGAAAUUUUUAGCUAUAGAUCUUAGUACCGUAAGGGAAUGCUGAAAGAGAAAUGAAACAACUCAGUAAAGUAAAAUAAAGCAGAGAUUAAUACUCGUACCUUUUGCAUCAUGAUUUAGCAAGAAUAAUUAAGCAAAAUGUUUUUUAGUUUAUGCCCCCGAAACUAAGUGAGCUACUCCGAAACAGCCUAUUAAUAGGGCAAACACAUCUCUGUGGCAAAAGAGUGUGAAGAUUUCUGAGUAGAGGUGACAGACCUACCGAACUUAGUUAUAGCUGGUUGUCUGAGACUUAAAUAGAAGUUUAGCCUCUAACUUUCUAAAUUUAAUUAUGAUCCCUUCAUCACAAUAAUAAUAGAAUGUUAAAGAGUUAUUCAUAAGAGGUUCAGCCCUUAUGAAAAAGGAUACAACCUUAACAGGUGAUUAAUGAACAUAUAACACAAGGUCAAUGUUUUAGUGGGCCUAAAAGCAGCCACCUAAGAAAAAAGCGUUAAAGC